CACGUUUAAUAUAGAGUUUAUUUACAUCUUGAAACAAUAUGAGCUUCGCUAAUUUUCUUUACUUCAUUGCGAUUAUAGUUCAAGGAUGUAGGGCUCCGGCUUGUUUUAGCAGGAUGAAAUUAGAACCGGAUAAUUAAAUCUUACCUCAGUUGAUUUAGAUUUA